rnacentral:rRNA from 1 species
AUGGAGAGCAAGCAUUUCAAGAGCGUGAUCAUGUGUGCACUCAUACUGAUACUGGGACUGCUUGUCCAGGGACAAAUCCAAGUAGCAGAGGGCAAGAGCUGCUGCAGAGACACCAGGUCAAGAAACUGUUACAACGUGUGCCUUCUUGUGCACCCCAGUACUCCCUGCUCAAAAAUGUGUGGCUGUGUGCUCACAAGGGACAGCACAUGCCCCAGGGAAUACCCUAAGCUCAACCUUCUCCCCGGUUCAGCUGAACCAGACGCCAUUGAGUACUGCAAAUUAGGAUGUAGGCUCUCAGUCUGUGACAACGUCAAUUCAGCUGAGCUUGGCGAAGACACGAAAGUCGGCGUGGGGCGCUGCGGCGAUGCGUGCGGCCGGUUCUGCAACAAUGCCACCAACAUUGCAUCCGUCGAUGCUUGA